AGCGAACGCUGGCGGCAUGCUUAACACAUGCAAGUCGCACGAGGUGGCAACACCUAGUGGCGGACGGGUGAGUAACGCGUAGGUAUCUGUCCUGGGGUGGGGGAUAACAGCGGGAAACUGCUGCUAAUACCGCAUGACACCUGAGGGUCAAAGGCGCGAGUCGCCUUGGGAGGAGCCUGCGUCCGAUUAGCUAGUUGGUGGGGUAAUGGCCUACCAAGGCGACGAUCGGUAGCUGGUCUGAGAGGAUGAUCAGCCACAUUGGGACUGAGA
rnacentral:rRNA from 1 species